CAAGGCGAGAAUGCCAUAAAUAAAAGGUACUAGAAGACGAAUUUAAACGAAAAGAUGAUAAGUCAACAGUUGAAGGAGACAUUGAGGCUGCAGUAUCUGGAACUUUCAACUCAUCCAAAAUAUAAAGUCCCCCCUGUCUACGGCCUGUCCCAAUCUUCCUCCCGGAUUGUUGAUCCUACACAUAACAAGAAGUGGAAGAAAACACAACUGAAUAACCAGAAUCACAUAAUUAACUAACAGAAACAAGGCUCAAAGUGAGGUUAGGAAUAUAAUAUACAUUAGAUAAAGACAAGUUAGUUGUGGAGACAGACCCAAUGCCUGCUAGUGGCAUAGGAGUGCCAUCAGCAGUCAAGACCGACAUAGAUGAUUUAGGAUUUNNNNGGCUGAGUUGCGAGAAACUUUUGAAACUGCUCAGCAAGAUCAAAUACAUGUGAAUUAGUCUCAGAUGGAUAUGCAGAACCAAUACCAGAACCAACGGACGGAGGAGCAACAAUAGAAGAAGUAGCAGCAACAACAUUAGAUGAGGGAGCCUUAAAAUUUUUUCUUCCCGCUUUCAUCAAUUGCGGACAGUUUGCUUUCCAAUGCCCCUUUUGCUUGCAAAAAGCACAUUCAUCAAUACCAACACCAACCCUCCCUUGAGGUUUUCCUUUGUUAACAGGAGCAGCAAAGACAGAUGGAGGAAUUCCUUUAUCCAAAUGCGAAAGAGAGUGAGACUUGAGUCUAAUUUCUUCUGCCAACAGUUCAUUAACAACCGAGUCAACCUUGGGAAGAGGAGUACGAUGUAAAAUACCCCCAC
rnacentral:lncRNA from 1 species